GAUGAACGCUAGCUACAGGCUUAACACAUGCAAGUCGAGGGGAACGACAUCGAAAGCUUGCUUUUGAUGGGCGUCGACCGGCGCACGGGUGAGUAACGCGUAUCCAACCUGCCCAUCACUUGGGGAUAACCUUGCGAAAGUAAGACUAAUACCCGAUGAUAUCCCUAGAAGACAUCUGAAAGGGAUUAAAGAUUUAUCGGUGAUGGAUGGGGAUGCGUCUGAUUAGCUUGUUGGCGGGGUAACGGCCCACCAAGGCAACGAUCAGUAGGGGUUCUGAGAGGAAGGUCCCCCACAUUGGAACUGAGACACGGUCCAAAACUCCUACGGGAGGCAGCAGUGAGGAAUAUUGGUCAAUGGGCGAGAGCCUUGAACCAGCCAAGUAGCGUGCAGGAUGACGGCCCUAUGGGUUGUAAACUGCUUUUUAUAAGGGAAUAAAGUGGGUCACGUGUGACUUUUUGCAUGUACCUUAUGAAUAAGGACCGGCUAAUUCCGUG
rnacentral:rRNA from 1 species